UGCAGUCGAGCGGUAGCAGGUCCUUCGGGAUGCUGACGAGCGGCGGACGGGUGAGUAAUGCAUAGGAAUCUGCCCGGUAGUGGGGGAUAACCUGGGGAAACCCAGGCUAAUACCGCAUACGUCCUACGGGAGAAAGGGGGCUUUGGCUCCCGCUAUUGGAUGAGCCUAUGUCGGAUUAGCUAGUUGGUGAGGUAAUGGCUCACCAAGGCAACGAUCCGUAGCUGGUCUGAGAGGAUGAUCAGCCACAUCGGGACUGAGACACGGCCCGAACUCCUACGGGAGGCAGCAGUGGGGAAUAUUGGACAAUGGGGGCAACCCUGAUCCAGCCAUGCCGCGUGUGUGAAGAAGGCCUUCGGGUUGUAAAGCACUUUCAGCGAGGAAGAACGCCUGGCGGUUAAUACCCGGUAGGAAAGACAUCACUCGCAGAAGAAGCACCGGCUAACUCCGUGCCAGCAGCCGCGGUAAUACGGAGGGUGCAAGCGUUAAUCGGAAUUACUGGGCGUAAAGCGCGCGUAGGUGGCUUGAUAAGCCGGUUGUGAAAGCCCCGGGCUCAACCUGGGAACGGCAUCCGGAACUGUCAGGCUAGAGUGCAGGAGAGGAAGGUAGAAUUCCCGGUGUAGCGGUGAAAUGCGUAGAGAUCGGGAGGAAUACCAGUGGCGAAGGCGGCCUUCUGGACUGACACUGACACUGAGGUGCGAAAGCGUGGGUAGCAAACAGGAUUAGAUACCCUGGUAGUCCACGCCGUAAACGAUGUCGACCAGCCGUUGGGUGCCUAGCGCACUUUGUGGCGAAGUUAACGCGAUAAGUCGACCGCCUGGGGAGUACGGCCGCAAGGUUAAAACUCAAAUGAAUUGACGGGGCCCGCACAAGCGGUGGAGCAUGUGGUUUAAUUCGAUGCAACGC
rnacentral:rRNA from 1 species